rnacentral:rRNA from 1 species
UGGGGAACUUGACAACUUGAACGCUGAGGUGCCGAAAGCGUGGGUAGCAAACACGUGAUUAGAUACCCUGGUAGUCCACGCCGUAAACGAUGUCGACUAGCCGUUGGGGUCCUUGAGACCUUUGUGGCGCAGUUAACGCGAUAAGUCGACCGCCUGGGGAGUACGGCCGCAAGGUUAAAACUCAAAUGAAUUGACGGGGGCCCGCACAAGCGGUGGAGCAUGUGGUUUAAUUCGAUGCAACGCGAAGAACCUUACCUACCCUUGACAUCGAGAGAACUUGGCAGAGAUGCCUUGGUGCCUUCGGGAACUCUCAGACAGGUGCUGCAUGGCUGUCGUCAGCUCGUGUUGUGAAAUGUUGGGUUAAGUCCCGUAACGAGCGCAACCCUUGUCCCUAUUUGCCAGCGAUUCGGUCGGGAACUCUAGGGAGACUGCCGGUGACAAACCGGAGGAAGGUGGGGACGACGUCAAGUCAUCAUGGCCCUUACGGGUAGGGCUACACACGUGCUACAAUGGACGGUACAAAGGGUUGCAAGACCGCGAGGUGGCGCUAAUCCCAGAAAGCCGUUCUCAGUCCGGAUCGGAGUCUGCAACUCGACUCCGUGAAGUCGGAAUCGCUAGUAAUCGUGAAUCAGAAUGUCACGGUGAAUACGUUCCCGGGCCUUGUACACACCGCCCGUCACACCAUGGGAGUGGACUGCACCAGAAGUGGUUAGCCUAACUUCGGAGGGCGAUCACCACGGUGU